AACAACAGGAAGAAAACCCGUUUCCACUCAAUUUGUAAAUUUUUACGGUUUUUACGGUAAUUUUGUAAGUUAAGAAUGUCAAGAAACUUACCGAAGAUCAUUCAAGAUCCUCUCCCGCCACCAUGCAACCGCCUUAACAAGGUGAAACGCCACCGCUCUAUCUCAACAUUCCCCGAGUUAUAAUGGUUCAUGAUGAUUUAAAGAGUAUGGAUUGAUGCUGUUCUUUGAUAGCUUUGUUUUUGCUUCCUGAAACUGGAGGAGGGAUAUUCAGACAUAGGUUGAUCAUGCUUCCUCUAAUGCCAUUCACCAGUGUUUAACUGUUCAAUUAAUGGAUGCCAAAUCAAUGAAGCUGAUGAUGAUGAUCUUUGAAUUUCUGAGAUUAUUUAUGUAGGCUAUUGAAAGUCAGGUUCAAUUGUUUAAUUAUUUGAAGCUGUAUUUUCUCGUUGUUAUGUUAUGCACAAAAUUGUAGCAGGGAUAAAUCUGCUACCAGCUGAAAUCAUUAUUUAUGCUUUUGGUUUGUUUGGUUGGAGAUAUGGGUUGCUGAUUGGGUCGUCUGAGUGCUUUCCAUUCGGGGAUUCUGAACUUCGAAUAAAUUGCUGAGUUGUGACAAAUGAAGUGUUAUAAAUACACCUUGAAACAGUUCAGGUCCCUUCCAAGUUCAAACACCUCCAUUUAUAUGAUAAUUCAGUUGAUCAAUUUAAGGAUAUGGAUUGUUGCUCCUGGGGUUAUGGAGCAUGCUGAUCAUAGAUUCAUCUGGUUUUACCCAAUUCAUUCUAUGCAUCCACCAUUACAUAUAUGCUUAAUGUUGCUAGCUCAUGACGAGGGUGCCAAAGACCUCAAUUGCGCAUGGUGGUCCGAUGUUUGUCGACAUGAUUAGUGGUCCGAUAUUUUGUCGACAUGUUUGGUGGUCCAGUCACAAGAGUGCCAGGCUUUGAGAGUUCUGUAUUUCAAGAGCUUCAGAGUCUGAAAGAUGAGCUACUGUGCUUGUCCCAAUCCAUUAUUUCGUGAAUGAAGAUUUUGCAAUUUCAUGCUUGUGGAACUCCUCGAAUUCAUGCAUGACGAACCCAUUUGCAGUGCCAAACCCGAACCCUACAUGGAACCGAUGGAUUGUAACUGGAACUUCCAUGUCAAACUGAUGGUAGGAUCUUGCCGGACUGUCUGUCAGGUGC